GAAACUGAGUCUAAUCCCGUGGUGGGGAAGCGGUUAAAAGGUCACUUCACGCCUGUUCCUGAUUUAGGGACCGUGGAUACAUCAGUCAACACAGGCUUGGAGCCUGUCAGAGCUAGAAGGUGCCUUAGGGAGUCACUAAUCUGGCCUCCUCCGCUCAGCAGGAAGAAACAGAGACCCACAGAGGGAAAGCAGCUUGCCCAGUCACACAGCCGAAGUGCUGGUUCCAGCUUAUUCCUCCUUUACACUCCUUCUCUGGCAGUCUUCUAUGGGUUGGAGUUGGAAGAAGCAGACAGUCAACCCAGAAAGGCCUCAGUGAAGCAGAGAGAGUGAAUGCUCCAGAGUCUACCGCAGUGUGCCCACUGCUGCCACGUUGCUGCUGCCGCCACCACCACCAAGCAGGUCUUGGGGUCAGAAAGAACCUUCCUAUGAGCUUUCUGCCAGCAAGGGAAGAGGCACAAGG
rnacentral:lncRNA from 1 species